CGCCGCCCGCCAGUGAGCACCGACCGCGGGGAGCCGCGCAGCGAGAACGAGCGCUUGAGCACGGAGAACGACGCUGCGCUCUUUCCGCCAACUCCAGCCAUGUGCGAAUGAAGCCCUGCUCCUAUUUCCAAAGAUCAGGACAGCAUCACCUCCACUGCGCAGCGACAAUCCCUCUCUCACACGAUCGACUGACUCCUCUGGUUGGCUGAAGCGUCAUGGGUUUAGAGCCCACUGGCCAAUGAGCGGCAAGAGCGACUGGCGUGAUGCCCCGCCCAGUAACCAGUAAGAUGGACUCAAGAGCUGUGAUUGGUCAGGCAAGUGAUGACGUUAGGGGAGUUACGAACACCGGGAAAUAGAAUCACCUCAGCUGCAAAUACGAGGAGAAUAUUGUUGUGUUUGCAUGUGCAAAGCUUGACGCCACUGUGGGCCAUCUGUGAACACCAUUCACAUGGUUUAAAGUACAUGCUACAGUCCAUCUGACCCACGGUCCAUCAGGCCGAGAUCCUGAACAU